GCGGCUGUUGUAUAACGGUAUUACCCGAGCUUCCCAAGCUCGUGACGUGGGUUCGACUCCCAUCAGCCGCU
rnacentral:tRNA from 1 species